UUGACUUUUUCUUUGUACUACCUAGUGACUUGCUCAGCUGAGAUGAAGCAAAUUUGCCUAAUAAUGUUACUGUAGAUACUGGAAUAUUUUCAUUUUUUAAAUGCAUAAUACAAUGAAUUUGUUAUGCAGCUAGACGUUUUUCUUGCUUUGUGCAGUUAUUUAAAGCGACUUUACAUCUGUCUUGGAUAGAUGCACUGAGACAAUAUCUGCAGAGGCCUCUGGAAGAAUCACCAAUCAAAGUGAAACAAGCCAUCCUUGAUCAGCGAAAACAGAAAAAUAUUGGGAGUGGCUAAAUCUACAGUUUGAUGCAUCCUAAUAAGUAAAGAAAUUAGUGGUGAACUCAGCAACACCAAAAGACCUGGACAUCCGUGGAAGACAACAGUGGUGGAUGCUCCCAGGAUCAAUUCCCUGGUGAAGAGAAACUCCUUCACAACAGCCAACUAGGUGAACAACACUCUCCAGGAGGUAGGCGUAUCAACAUCCAGGUCCACCAUAAAGAGACUGCAUGAAGGUGAACACAGAGGGUUCACUGCAAGGUGCAAGGCACUCAUAAGCCUCCAGAACAGAAAGGCUGGAUUAGACUUUGCUAAAAAAUAACAUCUUAAAAGCCAGCUCAGUUCUGGAAGAACAUUCUUUGGACAGAUGAAACCAGGAUCAACCUCUACCGGAAUGUUGGCAAAAAAUAAAAGGUGUAGAGCAGCUCAAUAUCCAAAGCAUGUGUAAAACACGGUGGAGGCAGUGUGAUGGCCUGGGCGUGCAUGGGUGCCAGUGGCAUCGGGACACCAGUGUUUCAAAGUAUAGAUGGACAAUGACCCAAAACAUACAGCCAAAGCAACCCAGGAGUUUAUUAAAGCUAAGAAGUGGAAUAUUCUUGAAUGGCCAAGUCAACCAUCUGAUCUUCACCCUGUUGAUCAUGCAUUGAAGACUGAACCUCAGCUACAAACUGAAAGCUGCAGCAGUAGAGGCCUGGUAGAGCCUUAACAAGGAGGAAACCCAGUGUCUGGUGAUGUCCAUGAGUUCAAGACUUCAGGCUAUCAUACCCAGCAAAGAAUUUUCUACCAAGUACCAGAAAUUAACAAUUUAUUUUCAGUUAAUUAAUUAGUUCAGUUAAUUUGACACCCUGAAAUGAAGGGAUUGUGUUCAAAUUGUUUUAGUUCCUCACAUUUUAAUGAAGUUUUUGUUCAUCCACUGAAUUAUGGCUGAAAGUUGGAUCUUCAAAUGCAUCUUAAUUGUUUUAAUUUAAAAUUCAUUGGGAUAAUGUACUGAACCAAACUUAGAAAAAUGUUCUGCCCAAAUCUUUAUGGAAGAACUGUAUUAGGAUGUUCUUGAUAAGAAGAGGAAAGGAGGUUUUUUUUUUUUAGCAAGUCAAUGACCCCAAACACACAUCUAUGGAAACUGUUGGAUUCAGAGAAGAAAUAUCAGCCAGCUACGAUGGCCCAGUCAGUCACCUGACCUGCUUCAAGGUGUACACUUUUUCUUCCACUUUCCAACAACCUUACUGAAUACUGCACUGUGGAACCAGCUUAUUCAGGAAAGACCUACUGUGGCUUACCCACCUUGUGGAGGGUGGCAAAUACCGUACAUUAGGAAAAACAAUUUGUGCAAAAAAUUGUCAUUUUUAUUGAUACUAAAUUUCAAUUGAUGUUUGCAAUUCUUAAAAACUCACUGAGAUUGGUGCUUUUGUUGUUUUAAACAAUUCUGUUUGUUCCAACAGAGCAUAAAUAAAUAUCAAAAGAAGUGUAA